AAUCAACGCUGGCGGCGUGCCUCAGACAUGCAAGUCGAACGCGAAAGUUCCCUUCGGGGGGCGAGUAGAGUGGCGCACGGGUGAGUAACACGUAGGCAAUCUACCUUUGGGUGGGGGAAUAACAGCCGGAAACGGCUGCUAAUACCGCAUAAAUGCAGCGGCUCGACAUCGAGACAGUUGUUAAAGCGGGGGAUCGCAAGACCUCGCGCCUAAAGAGGAGCCUGCGGCGGAUUAGCUUGUUGGUGAGGUAAUGGCUCACCAAGGCAUCGAUCCGUAGCCGGCCUGAGAGGGCGGUCGGCCACACUGACACUGACAUACGGGUCAGACUCCUACGGGAGGCAGCAGUCGGGAAUUUUGGGCAAUGGGCGAAAGCCUGACCCAGCAACGCCGCGUGAAGGGAUAGAAAUCCCUCGGGAUGUAAACUUCGCAAGAAUGGGAAGAAUUAGUAGGGACUAAUACCCCUAUGAUGACGGUACCAUUUGUAAGCUCCGGCUACU
rnacentral:rRNA from 1 species